UACGUAGGGGGCAAGCGUUGUCCGGAUUUAUUGGGCGUAAAGAGCGUGUAGGCGGCCAUACAGGUCCGUUGUGAAAACUGGAGGCUUAACCUCCAGACGUCGAUGGAAACCGUAUGGCUAGAGUCCGGAAGAGGAGAGUGGAAUUCCUGGUGUAGCGGUGAAAUGCGCAGAUUUCAGGAAGAACACCCGUGGCGAAGGCGGCUCUCUGGGACGGUACUGACGCUGAGACGCGAAAGCGUGGGGAGCGAACAGG
rnacentral:rRNA from 1 species